AGCGCAGGAGUUAUCUGAUCCUCUUUUAGAGGUGACGAUAUGGAAUGAGCGGCGGACGGGUGAGUAACACGUAGGCAACCUGCCUGUAAGACUGGGAUAACUCGUGGAAACGCGAGCUAAUACCGGAUAACACUUUUCAUCUCCUGAUGAGAAGUUGAAAGGCGGCUUUUGCUGUCACUUACAGAUGGGCCUGCGGCGCAUUAGCUAGUUGGUAAGGUAAUGGCUUACCAAGGCGACGAUGCGUAGCCGACCUGAGAGGGUGAUCGGCCACACUGGGACUGAGACACGGCCCAGACUCCUACGGGAGGCAGCAGUAGGGAAUCUUCCGCAAUGGACGAAAGUCUGACGGAGCAACGCCGCGUGAGUGAUGAAGGUUUUCGGAUCGUAAAACUCUGUUGUUAGGGAAGAACAAGUGCCAUAGUAACUGAUGGCACCUUGACGGUACCUAACCAGAAAGCCACGGCUAACUACGUGCCAGCAGCCGCGGUAAUACGUAGGUGGCAAGCGUUGUCCGGAAUUAUUGGGCGUAAAGCGCUCGCAGGCGGUUCUUUAAGUCUGAUGUGAAAUCUUACGGCUCAACCGUAAACGUGCAUUGGAAACUGGGGAACUUGAGUGCAGAAGAGGAGAGUGGAAUUCCACGUGUAGCGGUGAAAUGCGUAGAGAUGUGGAGGAACACCAGUGGCGAAGGCGACUCUCUGGUC
rnacentral:rRNA from 1 species